GACGAACGCUGGCGGCGUGCUUAACACAUGCAAGUCGAACGGAAAGGCCUGCUUUCCCUUGUGGAUUGCGGGUGCUCGAGUGGCGAACGGGUGAGUAACACGUGAGUGAUCUGCCCCCAACUUGGGUAUAAGCCUGGGAAACUGGGUCUAAUUCCCGAUAGGACUGCAGGGUGGUGCCUGUGGUGGAAAACGAUUUUCUAGUGGUUGGGGAUGAGCUCGCGGCCUAUCAGCUUGUUGGUGGGGUAAUGGCCUACCAAGGCGGCGACGGGUAGCCGGCCUGGGAGGGUGGACGGCCACAUUGGGAAUGAGAUACGGCCCAGACUCCUACGGGAGGCAGCAGUGGGGAAUAAUGCACAAUGGGCGGAAGCCUGAUGCAGCGACGCCGCGUGGGGGAUGACGGCCUUCGGGUUGUAAACUCCUUUCGACCGCGAGGAAGCCGCCUGGUUGGAAGGGUGGUGACGGUAGUGGUAGAAGAAGCACCGGCUAACUACGUG
rnacentral:rRNA from 1 species